rnacentral:rRNA from 1 species
CGGGUUACGGCGCCCGAUGCGAGACGCUCAUGAGACCCCAUGAAAGGUGUUGGUUGCUCUAGACAGCAGGACGGUGGCCAUGGAAGUCGGAACCCGCCAAGGAGUGUGUAACAACUCACCUGCCGAAGCAACUAGCCCUGAAAAUGGAUGGCGCUCCAGCGUCGAGCCCAUACCCGGCCGAGGCUGCAGACUUAUGUGGCCUCGAGUAGGAGGGUCGCGGCGACGUGCGUCGAAGGUGCCGGGCGCGAGCCCGCCUGGAGCCGUCGCCGGUGCAGAUCUUGGUGGUAGUAGCA